AUCCAGCUGAAGAGUCCAAAACAAGACAAAAUGUACACCAUGGAU
rnacentral:hammerhead_ribozyme from 1 species